AUUGAACGCUGGCGGCAGGCCUAACACAUGCAAGUCGAGCGGAUGAAGGGAGCUUGCUCCUGGAUUCAGCGGCGGACGGGUGAGUAAUGCCUAGGAAUCUGCCUGGUAGUGGGGGAUAACGUCCGGAAACGGGCGCUAAUACCGCAUACGUCCUGCGGGAGAAAGUGGGGGAUCUUCGGACCUCACGCUAUCAGAUGAGCCUAGGUCGGAUUAGCUAGUUGGUGGGGUAAAGGCCUACCAAGGCGACGAUCCGUAACUGGUCUGAGAGGAUGAUCAGUCACACUGGAACUGAGACACGGUCCAGACUCCUACGGGAGGCAGCAGUGGGGAAUAUUGGACAAUGGGCGAAAGCCUGAUCCAGCCAUGCCGCGUGUGUGAAGAAGGUCUUCGGAUUGUAAAGCACUUUAAGUUGGGAGGAAGGGCAGUAAGUUAAUACCUUGCUGUUUUGACGUUACCAACAGAAUAAGCACCGGCUAACUUCGG
rnacentral:rRNA from 1 species